UGGCUCAGAGCGAACGCUGGCGGCAGGCCUAAUACAUGCAAGUCGAGCGGGUCCUUCGGGAUUAGCGGCGGACGGGUGAGUAACGCGUGGGAACGUGCCCUUUGGUACGGAACAACUGAGGGAAACUUCAGCUAAUACCGUAUGUGCCCUUCGGGGGAAAGAUUUAUCGCCAUUGGAGCGGCCCGCGUUGGAUUAGGUAGUUGGUGAGGUAAAGGCUCACCAAGCCUACGAUCCAUAGCUGGUCUGAGAGGAUGACCAGCCACACUGGGACUGAGACACGGCCCAGACUCCUACGGGAGGCAGCAGUAGGGAAUCUUGCGCAAUGGGGCGAAAGCCUGACGCAGCCAUGCCGCGUGAAUGAUGAAGGUCUUAGGAUUGUAAAAUUCUUCACCGGGGACGAUAAUGACGGUACCCGGAGAAGAAGCCCCGGCUAACUUCGUG
rnacentral:rRNA from 1 species